ACUAGUGUGGCCUAGUGGCCGGAGUGCUGGACUAUGACUCUGGAGAUCCGGGUUCGAUUCCCAGCUCUGCCA